rnacentral:rRNA from 1 species
GACGAACGCUGGCGGCGUGCUUAACACAUGCAAGUCGAACGGAGUGGCGAACGGGUGAGUAACACGUGGGUGACCUGCCCUGCACUUCGGGAUAAGCCUGGGAAACUGGGUCUAAUACCGGAUAGUGUGGGAUGGGCCCGGGGCCUAUCAGCUUGGUGGUGGGGUAAUGGCCUACCAAGGCGGCGACGGGUGGCCGGCCUGAGAGGGUGGACGGCCACAGUGGAACUGAGACACGUCCCAGGCUCCUACGGGAGGCAGCAGUGAGGAAUAUUGCACGAUGGGAGGAGGCCUGAUGAGGCGACGCCGCGUUGGGGAGGACUGCCUUCGGGUUGUAACCUCCUUUCACCGUCGACGCGGUAGAUGAAGAUGAAGCACCGGCUAACUACGUGCCAGCAGCCGCGGUAAUUC